rnacentral:lncRNA from 1 species
CCAUAUCAUAACAGUCCAAGAUUAAAUACAAUGAUAAGAGUCCAGCUAUCAAGAUCAAAGUUCAACUAUGAGAUAUUUGACAAAAAAUUAAACUCACGUGCUAAGUAAAAAAACAAAUACAGCCUCAGGAGAAUAUUGUCAAUAGCUCCAGGCAAAAUACAAUGAAAAAGACAAUAAAAGAACAAUGUAGUGCAGAAAAUAAAGCUAAAUUAUAAAUAACUGAGUUGAGGCUAUGCUUAAAACUUCAUAUUUCAAUUGCAUACUUCAAAUUGAGCCUCACAUUCAGUAGGAUCCAGAUAUAUGCACCUAGUUACAGCACAGAACAACAAAGGAAAUAAGUUUGAAGUUGGAAAAACAAGCAACAGAGUAUCAGCAGUAUUAGCACAGCCAAAUAACAGCAAUAAUCAGUCCUUCCAAACUAUUUUUGAACACAUAAUGAACAAGAAAACUCUUGAAAGGUUUCAAACUUAUGACGACAAACAGCAAACCAAACUAAUUUCUACCAAAAAUGCAAAGGAUUUGCAAUAUUUUAAGCUCAGCUGUUUUUCUUAGCUUUUUAGUAUUGUCCCUCUCUAAAAUUUGACUUGAGAAUGAAGAAACAUGCCUUUUAUAAAGGCUUCUUAGGGCAGAAGAAAAUGGUUCUGAUUUUACCUAUUGCCCCUUUUCCAAUUUUCAUUUUUGAUAAUUAGUCCUUAAAUUCAACAUUUGUUUUUUUAAACUAGCCCUCAACCCCACCUUCUAUGUAGCUUUCUAAAUCAGUUACACAAGAUUCUUUUGUCCAGACUCCCCAAACUACCCUUUAAGACCCUGUUAUUUACCCUCCCUAACCUAAGCCAAAACAGGCUGCCUGAAUCCAAACCUGGGCCUAAACAAAGAUGGGCUUCUAAUGCCACAAGUCUGGACCACUACAAACUAAAAGGAGGCUUUCAAACCAAUGAACCAAUUAAACGAAAAAAUUAAAAGGAUUCAAAUUCAUAGCAGAUAAAGAAAUUAACCAUUUGGAAACCAAAAUAACGAACCUAGUAAUGCUGAUUGACUAGGACUGGCUAAAAGAAAAAGAAGAGAAGGGAGAACAGACUUCUAAUUUGAUUAAUAGAAACAAACAAAAGGAAAGGAAAAGAAGUUAGCAUACUGACAUGAAUAAAAAGUAAUCAACAACGACUUCAAAUGAACAAAACUAGAAAACAAAUAGAACAAACACAAAUAUAGACAAACAAAAAUGAAAAGAACUAACUUUAUAAAUUAAAACUUUUUAUGAAAUUUUGGUCAGAAGAAAACUAAUUAAAGAAGGGUAGAAGAAAGAGAAAGAGAAUAUAAAUAUGAAAUGGUAGAAGGAAAAACAGAAGAAAAAAUACCUAAGUCGAUUCAGUGAGACUCCAGCUUGCUUCGAUUUGAGCCCAAAGUUGAUGUCAACGGUGUGUUCUUGUCAAGAACAAAUGGACAAUGUCAGCUUCGUGCACAAUCGAUCCCCUUAGCUUGCAAGCUACAGAUUCUAUGGAAGUUGAUUUUGGGGUUUAGGGCUUCAACCUUAGAUUCAAAAUUUGAAAAGAUGUAGAGGGAUUCGAGGGAAGUGGUUUUGGGUUAUGGAAAGAGGACGAGCUUGGGGUUAUGGGGUGUGAUUUCAGGGGUGAUUUGAGGCGGCGCCGCCACCGGAGAGAGUUGGGGAUUUAAGGGCAGC